rnacentral:rRNA from 1 species
GCGUGCCUAACCCAUGCAAGUCGGACGAUCCCGCAAGGGAGAGUGGCGGAAGGGUCGUAACACGUAGGAACCUACCCCAUUGGAGGGAAUAACCCCGCGAAAGUGGGGCUAAUACCAAAAGGAUCCGCGAGGAUCAGAGUCCGCAAGGGCCUGGUGGGAUGGGCCUGCGGCCCUCAGCUUGUUGGUAGGGUAACGGCCUACCAAGGCUACGACGGGUAGGGGGUCUGAGAGGCGUCCCCCCACACUGGAACUGAAACACGGUCCAGACACCUACGGGUGGCAGCAGGGAGGAUAUUGGACAAUGGGGGAAACCCCGAUCCAGCAACGCCGCGUGAGGGAUGAAGGCCUUCGGUUGUAAACCUCUUUUCGGGGAGAAGAGACAGGACGGUAUCCCCGGAAUAAGCCACGGUAACUACGUGCCAGCAGCCGCGGUAAUACGUAGGUGGCGAGCGUUAUCCGGAUUUACUGGCGUAAAGCGCUUGUAGGCGGUUUCGUAAGUUGGGCGUGAAAACUUUGGGCUUAACCCAAGACGCCGUCCAAUACUGCGAGGCUAGAGGAUGUCAGAGGGAGGUGGAAUUCCCGGUGUGCGGUGAAAUGUGCAGAUAUCGGGAGGAACACCCGUGGCGAAGGCGGCCUCCUGGGGCAUCCUGACGCUGAGAAGCGAAAGCUAGGGGAGCAAACAGGAUUAGAUACCCUGGUAGUCCAGCCGUAAACGAUGGAUGCUAGGUGUUGGCGGCUUCAAUCCCGUCAGUGCCGAAGCAAACCGUUUAGCAUCCCCCCUGGGAAGUACGGCCGCAAGGCUAAAACUCAAAUGAAUUGACGGG